GCCUCUGUAGAGCUACAGAAAGCGCGUUGAACUUCUAAUUCAAAGGUCGUGGGUUCGAAUACCACCUGGGAUGGCA